rnacentral:tRNA from 1 species
GCACCUCGCGGCGCGGUGGCUUCGGGGCACGCCGCCUCAGGCGGCGCGGCGCAGGUCGGCGACUUCGCGCCGGUUCAGGAGCCGGUCGACGUUCA